AUGGAGCAUUAUGGAUGGGUCCUCCAAGAUUUGGUUGUUUCCAUAGUUUAUGCUCCAAAGAACAAAUUGGCUUUGGAUGACUACACAGUAAGAGAUUUGCUGUGUGGACAGAUACGGGUCAAACAUCU
rnacentral:snoRNA from 1 species